rnacentral:rRNA from 1 species
GACGAACCGAGCGAACGUUGUUCGGAAUCACUGGGCUUAAAGGGCGCGUAGGCGGGCUGUCAAGUCUGGGGUGAAAUCCCACGGCUCAACCGUGGAACUGCCUUAGAUACUGACGGCCUCGAGGGAGAUAGGGGCGAGCGGAACUGUGAGUGGAGCGGUGAAAUGCGUUGAUAUUCACAGGAACUCCGGUGGCGAAGGCGGCUCGCUGGAUCCUUUCUGACGCUGAGGCGCGAAAGCUAGGGGAGCAAACGGG